CCCAGACACACACAGCACCCCCAGACACACACAGCACUCAGACACACACAGCACUCAGACACACACAUCACCCUCAGACACACACAGCACCCAGACACACACAGCACCCUCAGAAACACACACACACAGCACCCUCAGACACACACUGCUCACUCAGACAGACACUGCUCUCUCAGAGAGACAGCACCCUCACUCACACAGCACCCACACACAUAUACAGCACACACACACACACAUAUAUAUAUAAUAAAUAAAAUAACCCUCAGUGAGUUAACAGACAAAAAAAUUUAGAAACCUAGAAUGUGACUGCAGAUAAAAACACCUUCACACACAGCACCCCUCUUACACACACACACACACACACUGCACCCUUCACACACACACACACUGCGCCCCUCACACAUACAAUACGUCCAGAUAUAAAUAUAUAUAUACACAC